rnacentral:tRNA from 1 species
UCCUCAAUAGCUCAGUUGGUAGAGCAACGGACUGUGCUGUUAACAAAUAGCGUUUGCCCCUGAUUCAAGUCCAGGUUGAGGAGCUA